GAGAGCUCAAGUACAUUCCCGGUAUUAAUUUCAGAACAAACAACGGACCCUUCAAGGCUCAAAUGCAAAGAUUUACAGAGAAGAAUGUUGGUAUAAUGAAAGCUGAGAGGUUGUUUGAGUCUCAAGGAGGUCCUAUUAUUCUAUCUCAGAUUGAAAAUGAAUAUGGGUCCAUGGAAUACGAACUUGGUGCACCAGGUAAAGCUUACAGUGACUGAGCGGCUAAAAUAGCAGUGGGACUAGGCACCGGUGUCCCAUGGGUCAUGUGCAAGCAAGAUGAUGCACCCGAUCCUAUUAUUAAGGCCUGCAAUGGUUUCUACUGUGACUACUUUUCUCUGAACAAGCCCUACAAACCAAAGAUGUGGACUGAAGCCUGGACAGGCUGGUAUACUGAGUUUGGAGUGCG